rnacentral:pre_miRNA from 1 species
UGUUAAAAAUUUCAUCCUUUUGUACUGUUAGAAACUGGAAUGGCUGACAGAAUAAUCAUAUAAUGACAUGUGGUAUUUCCGUGUACUCAUGCUGACAUAUAGUAACCAGUUUUUAACCGUAUACAUGGAUAGAAUUUUUAACA